AUGAAUCAAAAUCAAGCUGGUGGGAGCAAACUUGUCCAAGAGAUUGAGGCUUCAAAGGAGGUUAUUAAUAUGUUGAAGUUGUGGUUUAACAAAGCCAAGAAAGCUCAAGAAGUUAGGAAUCAAAUCACAAUUAAACUGGUUGAUGGAAUAUGCUCUAAGAAGAUUCUAAUCAAGAAUCUGAACCCUAAAAAGAUAAAUAAAAUAGAGGCUAUUAUGAAGGACUUAAUGAAUCUGGAUGUAAAUGAUUUUGAAUCAGAUAAAGACCUUGAGAAUUGUAUGGAUUCACUCAGGGAUGAAGAUUGA